AUGCCUAUCAUGGCAGGGGAGAUACCAUGAUCAUGAAGGUGGUUUUCCCAGGGUGAGGCUCAUCCAUUGCACUGCGGGUGUGCUGACCCCUGCGAUUUCCCCAAAUGCGGGAAACUCGACUGCAUAAUUUGUGGUAGUGGGGGACUGCGUUCGCGCUCUCCCCUG